rnacentral:rRNA from 1 species
UAAUACGUAGGGUGCGAGCGUUAAUCGGAAUUACUGGGCGUAAAGCGUGCGCAGGCGGUUGUGUAAGACAGGCGUGAAAUCCCCGGGCUCAACCUGGGAACUGCGUUUGUGACUGCACAGCUAGAGUAUGGCAGAGGGGGGUGGAAUUCCACGUGUAGCAGUGAAAUGCGUAGAGAUGUGGAGGAACACCGAUGGCGAAGGCAGCCCCCUGGGUCGACACUGACGCUCAUGCACGAAAGCGUGGGGAGCAAACAGGAUUAGAUACCCUGGUAGUCCACGCCCUAAACGAUGCGAACUAGGUGUUGGGGAAGGAGACUUCUUUAGUACCGGAGCUAACGCGUGAAGUUGACCGCCUGGGGAGUACGGCCGCAAGGUUAAAACUCAAAUGAAUUGACGG